UACGUAGGGGGCAAGCGUUGUCCGGAAUCAUUGGGCGUAAAGAGCGUGUAGGCGGCUCGGUAAGUCCGCUGUGAAAGUCCAGGGCUCAACCCUGGAAUGCCGGUGGAAACUGUCGAGCUAGAGUCCGGAAGAGGCGAGUGGAAUUCCUGGUGUAGCGGUGAAAUGCGCAGAUAUCAGGAGGAACACCAAUGGCGAAGGCAGCUCGCUGGGACGGGACUGACGCUGAGACGCGAAAGCGUGGGGAGCAAACAGG
rnacentral:rRNA from 1 species